AUGACUACUACCAUGGCUUAAGUUUAUUAUGUAUCCUUGAUCUUAGUUCCACUUUUGUUUCAAUUGGCAAAUGAUUAUAGAAUCUUGCUUCUUCUCAUGGGAGAUGCUGGUUUAGCAAGAUGGAUGUCAUCUGUUGCAAACCAGUGUAAGGAGAGCGAAGGACCAAAUGGUUAAUAGGAUAUAAAACUUUGCAUAAUGGGAGUUGGUGAUAACCAUCAACCAUGACACAAUUGAUGAGGAUAUUAUUUAUGAGCACAAUGAAGUUUUGAGUUUUUAUUUAAAUAUUUAUUAGGUUUUUGUUUUAUACGUUAGAUAUUUAGACUCAAUGUGACACUUGUUAGACAUUUGGAAGAUAAUCGAAGUUAUGAUAUUAUGCUUUCUAUA